rnacentral:rRNA from 1 species
CCUACGGGAGGCUGCAGUGGGGAAUAUUGGACAAUGGGGGCAACCCUGAUCCAGCCAUGCCGCGUGUGUGAAGAAGGCCCUCGGGUUGUAAAGCACUUUCAGUGAGGAAGAACGCCUGGUGGUUAAUACCCUUCAGGAAAGACAUCACUCACAGAAGAAGCACCGGCUAACUCCGUGCCAGCAGCCGCGGUAAUACGGAGGGUGCGAGCGUUAAUCGGAAUUACUGGGCGUAAAGCGCGCGUAGGUGGCUUGAUAAGCCGGUUGUGAAAGCCCCGGGCUCAACCUGGGAACGGCAUCCGGAACUGUCAAGCUAGAGUGCAGGAGAGGAAGGUAGAAUUCCCGGUGUAGCGGUGAAAUGCGUAGAGAUCGGGAGGAAUACCAGUGGCGAAGGCGGCCUUCUGGACUGACACUGACACUGAGGUGCGAAAGCGUGGGUAGCAAACAGGAUUAGAUACCCCUGUAGUC